GGAGGGGUGAAGACAAAUGUAACUGUCUCUGGCUCUGCCACAGUGUGCUACAGAACAACAACAAAUCCAUGCCGUUUUGGAGAUGCGCAGCUUGUGAAUUCUCCUCUGUCAUGCAGUUGUACACAGCUGAGAGAGACUCAACCAGGAAAGACAGAGGAGAAGAAACAUAGUGGAAGUUUGCAUUAACAAGGAAGGUGAUUUGUUUGUUUCUUGGUCAUACAUCCACUGGACUGAGGAAGUAUACAGUAAGGAGUCAUCAUUUGCUCUUUUAGGAUGCGCUGUCUCUGCUGUACCUCACAUCUGCCCUGGCCACCCUUUCUUUGGGAUGUAGUGAAGAUUGAUGCUUCAUACAGGCUUUCCCCCUAAACAUCUGCUGACUCUGGAAACCUGGCAUCAUGCCAGUGAUGAAGGGGCUGCUGGCACCCCAGAACACCUUCCUGGACACCAUUGCAACUCGUUUUGAUGGCACUCACAGCAACUUCCUCCUUGGGAAUGCUCAGGGUCACCGUGGCUAUCCCAUUGUAUACUGUUCCGAUGGAUUCUGUGAGUUGACGGGGUUCGGACGAACAGAGGUGAUGCAGAAGAACUGCAGGUGUCAUUUCCUAUAUGGCUCGGCCACUAGUGAGCAGGUUACUCAGGGUGUGGAGAAAGCUCUGGAGGGCAAGGAGGAGUACCAGGCUGAGGUGCAGUUCUACAAGAAGAAUGGAAGUUCGUUCUGGUGUUUGUUGGACAUUGUCCCCAUUAAAAAUGAGAAGGGGGAGAUGGUGCUUUUUCUCUUUUCAUUCAAGGAUAUCACAGAAACAUAUGACAAGAGCCAUCACAGCAGCAGAACUGAUGAUAAUAAGCCAUACAACAGGACCACUGGAAACUCUCAUAUCAGUAAAGCCAGAAGGAGGGGUCACACCAUGAUUUACCAGCUAACCAGCCAGUUUACCCGUGACAGCAAAAAUGACGUUGGCCUAAGUCGGGACAUAUUUGAAAAACCGUCCCUGCCUGAGUACAAAGUGGCAGCAGUCCAGAAGUCUCGAUUCAUCCUGCUGCAUUACAGUGUGUCCAAGGCAUUGUGGGAUUGGAUGAUUCUGCUGGCUACAUUCUAUGUUGCUGUGACCGUGCCGUACAAUGUGUGUUUCACACCAUACAGCGAUCUGGAGGCUGCAGGCAGGAGCACCAUAGUUAGCGACAUCGCAGUGGAAAUGCUUUUUAUUUUGGACAUCAUUCUUAACUUUCGGACCACCUACGUGAGUCAAUCAGGGCAGGUGGUGUACGAGUCUCGCUCCAUCUGUCUGCAUUAUGCUACCACGUGGUUCUUUGUGGAUCUGGUGGCCGCGCUGCCCUUUGACCUGCUCUAUGCAUUUAACGUUACUGUUACAUCUCUAGUGCACCUGCUGAAAACUGUGCGAUUGUUGCGUCUGUUAAGACUGCUGCAGAAGUUGGACAGAUAUUCGCAGUACAGCGCCAUGGUGCUAACACUGCUCAUGUCGAUGUUUGCUCUGCUGGCUCACUGGAUGGCCUGCAUCUGGUAUAUCAUCGGGCGCAAAGAGAUGGAGACCAAUGCCAAUGGAGCCUGGGACAUUGGCUGGCUUCAUGAGUUGGGCAGGCGUCUGGACAAGCCCUAUCUGAACAGUACAGUUGGUGGUCCUUCAGUUCGCAGUGCCUAUAUCGCUUCUCUGUAUUUCACCUUGAGCAGUCUGACCAGUGUGGGCUUUGGCAAUGUUUGUGCAAACACUGAUGCUGAGAAGAUCUUUUCUGUUUGUACUAUGCUUAUUGGAGCUCUCAUGCAUGCUGUGGUGUUUGGGAAUGUAACAGCCAUCAUCCAGCGCAUGUACUCGCGUCGCUCACAAUAUCACACACGCAUGAAAGAUCUGAAGGACUUCAUUCGUGUUCACCGGCUGCCACGGCAGCUGAAACAACGUAUGCUGGAAUAUUUCCAGACCACCUGGUCUGUGAAUAAUGGCAUUGAUGUCAAUGAGCUCUUGCAUGAUUUUCCUGAUGAGUUACGUGCUGAUAUAGCCAUGCACUUAAACAAAGACAUCCUGCAACUGCCUGUGUUUGAGGGUGCCAGCAGGGGUUGCCUGCGCUCUCUCUCCCUCCACAUCAAAACCUCUUUCUGUACACCGGGAGAAUAUCUCAUCAGACAGGGGGACGCAUUGCAGGCCAACUACUUUGUCUGUUCUGGGUCACUGGAGGUUCUAAAGGACAACAUGGUUUUGGCUAUUCUGGGAAAAGGAGAUCUGAUUGGCUCAGACCUGCCAAGCCAGAAUCAUGUGAUCAAGACGAAUGCAGAUGUGAAGGCACUAACAUAUUGUGACCUGCAGUACAUCAGUGUGAAAGGUUUAAGUGAUGUGCUUGAACUAUAUCCUGAGUAUGCCAGUUUCUUCACUACUGACAUCCACCGUAACCUCACAUACAAUCUGAGAGAGGGCAGUGAGACUGAGCAGAACUACCCAGACUCCUGUGCAUCAACUGAAAAUAAGCGUCCAUCCAUUGUAGAAAAGGCUGAAGAUGCAAACAAGUACUUCCACGUCCCACCUGCUUCCAAUACAUGCCGAAAUCUACUUCUGCCCAAUCUAGGCAGUCCAGUGCGACGUACAUCCUUGGGGAACCUUUUAGGGGAGGAGUUACUGCAAUUCAAUGCCCUGAGACACUGUCGUUCACCUGUCAGGGGUUGGAGUCCAAACCCCUCCCCCAAACCGCAGACCAAAGUACAGAAACAAACCCAUCCACCCUCAUCUACACCUAAACCCACUCAUAGGACACAGACAGAUUCUGAAGGUACAGGACGCAAACCUGCCAAACUGCUCAUCCCCACUCUCAACUGCUUUGGACCACCAGAUCUUAGUCCAAGAGUUGUAGAUGGAAUUGAGGACAACGGACAUGUGUUUCAUUUCAAUGUGGAGGACAAAACUACCAAAACUACCACAGUGACAUCACUGGGUAGUAAGACACUGGACGGGUCUGGUCAUGCUUCACUGCUUCAGGAGACAAAAGAAGUGAGAGAGACCAUUGCCCAACUCAACAAGAAGAUGGGCAAUCUGAAAGAGGAAGUAUCAAUUCUAACAAAGGAUCUGCAUCACAUAAUGCACCUGCUGCAAGCACAGAUAGCCGUUCGUCAUUACGCAGCACCUUUGUCCUCCUGUCCCUAUGGAGUCCACAUGAUGUCAAAUUCUUCUGUCAGUAUGUCUCCGGCCUACAUCUUGGGCUCCAGCAUCCACAUGCAGCACAAAGACCAUGUUAUCCCUGAGAGUCAUCCGGGGUCCACAUCAUGGAGUCAUAGCAGAGCUGGUGGAUCUGGUUUUCCUCAGCACACUGAGAAACAGGGACACUUUCACCAGCAUGAGUCAAAUCAACACUGUCCUGUCACAGCAAAUGAUCCCUGUUCCCAUGACUGGAGCUCCAUCCAUUCCUCAGUCAGCCACCAUCAGUUCUCCACUGGCUCCUCUCUCCUUAGCAUCAACCCAGGAACCCAGGGGCCAACACCUGGAGAAGGCCCCCGAGCAGAGGGCUUAUCACUGGGCGUUUGUGCUGGAGCUCAUGCCAAUAUCAGCCAAUCACAGCCUGUUUUGCAUACAUUUUUUUCACAAAACUUGGGCGGUUCCUCUUUGUCCUGCAAGGUCACGCCUAGCUCGUAUUCACACCUUCACCUUUCCACAGAACCAGCGUUUUCCUACUCCACUCCAACCCUGGGUGAGGUGCACAGGAAUCCAGAAGUGGCCCUCAGUAAGAACCAGAAUGUGGACCCUUCCACUUUCCUACCAGAGAAUUCUCCACCCUCUCCAAAAGAAUCAGGUGUUCACUGUUCUCUUGGGGAGUCAACUGAGAUAGAGCACACCAGUCGGGAGUGCUUACUGGGUAAGCAAAGGCUGGGCCAAGACGGUGAGACAUCAGAGAGCAGGUCUAGUGGAUCCAGUGUUGGGCUUCAAAGCCAAUCUGAGAGCUCAGAGACCACAUGGUGCCUGGAUCUUAUGGAAUGAUAAUGAGGAAAGACUAUAAUCAAGGCAACUCAAACAGAUUCUGCAACCAAACUUUCAAUUUGAAUUUCGAUUGACACAACUGUCCUUUCAUUGUGAAUUUCAUAACUUCAUGAGUAUGAUUAAAUGGGAACUAGCAGCACAGCAGUUAAUCAUCAUCAGGAACCUUUUCCUGUUGUACUACAGAAAAGGCAGUAGUUCUGGUGUUGAAAAACUGUCUCCGCACCAGCCUCUAAAACCUGCUGAUCUCAAACAUAAAACCACAAAAUGGUUUUAUGAAUCUGGGGGCUGGAUGUCCUUGCCAAAAACUUGGUUCCUGGUAUUCCAUCCCUUUCUCAAAAACUGUGAAACUAUGCAAAGGCACAUGUGAAUUAUAUCAUUAAAUGGAGAGCAUCUCUACUAAAAAUGACUGUUUUGUCUAGAUGUUCAUGAGUACAGAAAACUUGCUAGUUACUGAGGGAAUCAGUUGUGGAGUUCAGAGAAUUCAAGAAUCACUUUCAUUAAACUAUGAUACUAUGUUUUGGAAGGUAUAGGUUUUGUUCUCUGUUUGUAUGUUCCUGACUUCAUUCUUUUUCCUAAAGAAAAUGUAUUCUGAAAUGUUGAAUGAAUAUUCUAUACAUCUAGGACUGAACAUUUACAAACUUUAUCAUCUUCCCAUGUACAGCUUGACUGUUUACUCAGAUGGGACAUAUCAAUGAAAAGCAUUUAAAUGCACUUGAGGAAUAAAACAGUUUUGGAAGCACACUGUUUUGACAUACUGCUAUAAUCUAUGCCCAUGACAGACCACCCUCAUUUUUAAUAUUUCAAUCAGAUGACCAUGUAGUACUAGAAGAUGUAUUCCGAUAAAAAUUACAAGCCCAGAAUUUAUCCACAAAAGGAUUAUUCUGUGUUAAAUUCAGAAAAACAGACAAGAAAAGUCACUUUGAAACAUAUAUGCAGAAUUGGCAAUGAAAAAAAUAUACUGCUUGACAAUUUAGCAAAGCUUAUUAAUAAGUUAUGCAUUUUAAAAUAUGCUGAGUAAUGCUGCCAUUGCUAAAUCUGUGAAUACUGCAUGUUGGAAUUCCAUAAAACAUGAUGCUUUAAUUCCAGUAGUACUCUAUUGCACUAAAUAACUGAAUUUAAUACUUAAUUUUGGAUUAAUGAGACUCAGGGUUGAUUUUCAUUUGCACAAUAUAUGACCACUGCAAUGAUUAGGAGUUAUUAGAAUUUAAUGGAUUGCACUUUAUGCAACAUGAACCUGCACACACAUGACUCUCGUAUGUAAUUAUAGUUUGUGUGGUAACACUUUACAAUUAGGUUUCAUUUGUUAACAUUAGUUAACUACAUUAGUUAACACUAACUAAGAAUGCAUAAUAUUCAGCAGCAUUUAUUAUGUUAAUUUCAACAUUUACUAAUACAUUUUUAAAUCAAAUGUUGUGAGCAUUAUUUGUUAAGAUUAAUAAAUGUGGUCCCACUUUAUAUUAGGUGGCCAUAACUACUAUGUACUUACAUUUAAAUUAAUCAUUUGAUACAAUGCACUUAUUGUGUACAUACGUUUAUUGUACUUAUAUUUUUAAAAUACCUGCAUGUAAUUACAUCUGUAAUUAAUUAAUUUAAUUUAAUUACACUGUUGACCUAUUCCUUACACCUUAACCCACCCUUAAACCUACCCAUACCACCAAACCUGUCCUUAACCUUACCCGUAUCCCACCUUAAUAGCAGCAAAUGUGUUUUGCAAUACAAUAUGAACACAAUAAGUACAUUAUUGUUUCUCAAUACUUGGGUCACUUUUUCAAAACUCUUCACACAGUUAUCAUAACCAACUUUCAGCUUGGCACAGCAGUAAAUUCACAUUCAAAAUGCACUAAAACUACCAAAACACUUCAUUUGUGUCUCAAAUCAAGAUAUUCUUCCAUAGCACUAGCAAAGUUUGUCAACCAACAAACACUUUGUCACUCAUAAAACAAAGAGCUAAAAACACUAAUAUCAGGAGCAGUACACAAUGUUUUCUUUUGUAAAAAUGUGUUUACAAAACAAGAAUGACACUCUCUAUUGUUUCUAAUUCACUGUAGUUUGUUACAUUAUCCAUGUUUACAUUACAGUACAAAAUGAUUCCUAAGAUUUAUCCUUUUAUAUAAAUGGUAAUGAAAUUGUAAGACUAACAUCUGUGUAGGUGUUCAGCUUCAUCUAAUUGUUUUGAUAGUAUUUCAUUUUUUAAGAUUCGGACUAUAUUUCAAUAUUGUAUUACUAUGGUGACUGGGAGGGGACAUGUUCGGUUCACUUAGAUAUUAAUUCGUGGGAACGUGAUAAGUCUUGGCCACAAGAUCAUUUUUUUAGAGGUAAUGACAUCAUGUCGUGGCCGUGCGAUGUAAAGUUGGGCCCUUGAGAUCCUACGUUGAGGGAACGACAUAUUUUUCUUGUGGCCACAACUUCUUUAUGUUGAGGGAACGACAUAAUUGUUAUUACUGCAAAAUUACUGUAAAAUGUAGCAAAUUGCUGUCUUAUUCAAUUUUGUAUUAUGUUAGGUUUUGAACUUAAGUUUAAUAGUUUUGUAAAAAGUAUGUAAACGUGCAAAUUGGCCUGUAGGUACAGUAUAAAUAAUGUUAACAAAUGACACCUUUGUACUUAAUAACUUUUAUUUGAUUGAUCCUUUACUCUUCACACAUUUGAGUGGUCAUAAAAGUAGCAUUGCGGUGGCAGACUGGGCAAACCUGAUUCAACAUUUGUUUAAAUGUAUUUUUUUACUCAUAAAAACUAUGACACUGAAUACGAAAUACAGAUUUUUAUCGUUCUGUAGAGGACUGAUCAUGCUUUUAUUGAUUAACAAUGAAGAGAUGGUUUCUAAAACUGUCAAACUCUUUCAUUGCUCUCAUUUACACCUUGUAUAAAAUGGUAGUUGUUCUUAUUUUACCACAUUUUUUGCAUGGUAACUGUUACUCCGAUUGUAAAUUUGCUUUGUUUUUGUGCAUGGAAUUAUAUUAAAUUAUGAGGAUUCCAAUAAAACACUUUUUCCCUUA